rnacentral:rRNA from 1 species
AUUGAACGCUGGCGGCCGGCCUAACACAUGCAAGUCGAGCGGCUCGCCGGUCGGGUGAGUAAUGCCAAGGUCUCUGCCUGGUCGUGGGGGAUAACGUCCGGAAACGGGCGCUAUUACCGCUUACUCUUAGCUGAGCCUAGGGGGGAUUAGCUUGUUGGUGGGGUAAAGGCCUACCAAGGCGACGAUCAGUAACUGGUCUGAGAGGAUGAUCAGUCACACUGGAACUGAGACACGGUCCAGACUCCUACGGGAGGCAGCAGUGGGGAAUAUUGGACAAUGGGCGAAAGCCUGAUCCAGCCAUGCCGCGUGUGUGAAGAAGGUCUUCGGAUUGUAAAGCACUUUAAGUUGGGAGGCGUUACCAACAGAAUAAGCACCGGCUAACUUCGUGCCAGCAGCCGCGGUAAUAC